UGAACGCUAGCGACAGGCCUAACACAUGCAAGUCAGGGGCAGCACAAGGAGCAAUCUGAGGUGGCGACCGGCGCACGGGUGAGUAACACGUAUGCAACCUGCCUGUAAGCGGGGAAUAACCCGUUGAAAGACGGACUAAUACCGCAUAAUACUAAAUUACUGCAUGGUAAUUUAUUUAAACAUUUAUGGCUUACAGAUGGGCAUGCGCAUGAUUAGCUAGUUGGAGAGGUAACGGCUCCCCAAGGCAACGAUCAUUAGGGGUUCUGAGAGGAAGGUCCCCCACACUGGUACUGAGACACGGACCAGACUCCUACGGGAGGCAGCAGUGAGGAAUAUUGGUCAAUGGACGAGAGUCUGAACCAGCCAAGUCGCGUGCAGGAAGAAUGUCCUUAAUGGAUUGUAAACUGCUUUUGCAGGGGAAUAAAGUGCAUCACGUGUGAUGUUUUGUAUGUACUCUGCGAAUAAGGAUCGGCUAACUCCGUGCCAGCCGCAGC
rnacentral:rRNA from 1 species